AUGCAUGAUCAUCCCCGGGCUACUCUGAAUUCUGAUUAUCUCGCUGACGGUGAUAGCCCCACUGCUCGUGCUAGUCUGUCGCCGUUUAGUGUUGCAGGUUAGCCGUGCUCUUUUACACGGCUGAUGUGUGUGAAAUAACGGCCACAUCC
rfam:Cucumis melo, WGS project CAJI01000000 data, contig: 11915